rnacentral:tRNA from 1 species
GCCCGGGUGGUGCAGCCAGGCCCAGCAUGCGGCACUGUCACUCCCGCGACUCGGGUUCAAAUCCCGACCCGGGCGCCA